rnacentral:rRNA from 1 species
GUGAGGAAUAUUGGUCAAUGGGCGGGAGCCUGAACCAGCCAAGUCGCGUGAAGGAAGAAGGAUCUAUGGUUCGUAAACUUCUUUUGCAGGGGAAUAAAGUGCAGGACGUGUCCUGUUUUGUAUGUACCCUGAGAAUCAGGAUCGGCUAACUCCGUGCCAGCAGCCGCGGUAAUACGGAGGAUCCGAGCGUUAUCCGGAUUUAUUGGGUUUAAAGGGUGCGUAGGUGGUUUGAUAAGUCAGCGGUGAAAGUUUGCAGCUUAACUGUAAAAAUGCCGUUGAAACUGUCUGACUUGAGUGUAAAUGAGGUAGGCGGAAUGCGUGGUGUAGCGGUGAAAUGCAUAGAUAUCACGCAGAACUCCGAUUGCGAAGGCAGCUUACUAAGCUACAACUGACACUGAAGCACGAAAGCGUGGGGAUCAAACAGGAUUAGAUACCCGGGUAGUCC